rnacentral:rRNA from 1 species
GUCCAGACUCCUACGGGAGGCAGCAGUGGGGAAUAUUGGGCAAUGGGCGCAAGCCUGACCCAGCAACGCCGCGUGAAGGAAGAAGGCUUUCGGGUUGUAAACUUCUUUUAAGAGGGACGAAACAAAUGACGGUACCUCUUGAAUAAGCCACGGCUAACUACGUGCCAGCAGCCGCGGUAAUACGUAGGUGGCAAGCGUUAUCCGGAUUUAUUGGGUGUAAAGGGCGUGUAGGCGGGAAAGCAAGUCAGGUGUGAAAACUAUGGGCUCAACCCAUAGCCUGCAUUUGAAACUGUUUUUCUUGAGUGCUGGAGAGGCAAUCGGAAUUCCGUGUGUAGCGGUGAAAUGCGUAGAUAUACGGAGGAACACCAGUGGCGAAGGCGGCCUGCUGGACAUUAACUGACGCUGAGGCGCGAAAGCGUGGGGAGCAAACAGGAUUAGAUACCCGAGUAC